GCAGCCCACACAUCAUCUUCUUGUCACAGAGUGUAUUACCGGGAGGGAGCCAUCUCUGUGGAACACGUCUGUGCCAUGAAAUUGCUCAUGCUUGGUUUGGACUGGCCAUUGGUGCUCGUGAUUGGACUGAAGAGUGGAUAAGUGAAGGGUUUGCCACUUUUUUAGAAGAUAUAUUUUGGGCUAGGGCACAACAGCUGUCACAUGAUGAAGUAAAAGGGCAGCAGGAAUUCUUUACUUCGCUGGCGACGACUCAGAGAUGAGGUGCAGAACUCUGAAGAAGAGCUGCAAAUUUUAAGGCCCAACAAGGAAAGCACAGGAGAAUUGAGUGAGUCUGGAGCAUCUGUUGUCAAACAUGGUCUUAAAGCAGAAAAAAUCUUCAUGCAGGUUCACUAUUUGAAGGGUUAUUUCCUUUUGCGGUCUCUGGCAAAGACAAUAGGAGAGGCUUCAUACUUUGCAUCUUUACGAAAAUUUGUCCAUAAGUUCCAUGGGCAGCUUGUCCUUUCUCAGGUACUGUGCUUGGGGUUGUUCCUCACUUUCUGAAAAAAACAAAUUACCUAAAUUUUUGGUUUGACUAUCUAAAUCACUACUUCUGGUUGUGGUGAAAACAGAGAGGCGCUUGUAACUUGGCAAUAUUGGUGAAAUUCCUACCUGCUAGAGGGCAGAACAUUUUUUUCAGGGUGAUAUAUAAAUUGGACACCCUGCUAGUAUCUGAUAAUGUAAACAAUA